UCGAGAAUCUUUCGCAAUGGGCGAAAGCCUGACGAAGCGACGCCGUGUGUGUGAUGAAGGCCUUCGGGUUGUAAAGCACUUUCGCUAGGGAACAAGAAAGGCUGGCUAAUAUCCAGCCAAUUUGAGGGUACUUGGUAAAGAAGCACCGGCUAACUCCGUGCCAGCAGCUGCGGUAAUACGGAGGGUGCAAGCGUUGUUCGGAUUCACUGGGCGUAAAGGGUGCGUAGGCGGUUGGACAAGUCUGA
rnacentral:rRNA from 1 species